CCUACGGGCGGCAGCAGUGGGGAAUAUUGGACAAUGGGCGCAAGCCUGACCCAGCAACGCCGCGUGAGGGAAGAAGGCUUUCGGGUUGUAAACCUCUUUUAUCGGGGGAGAGCAGAAGACGGUACCCCUUGAAUAAGCCACGGCUAACUACGUGCCAGCAGCCGCGGUAAUACGUAGGUGGCAAGCGUUGUCCGGAUUUACUGGGUGUAAAGGGCGUGCAGCCGGAGAGGCAAGUCAGAUGUGAAAUCCACGGGCCCAACCCGUGAACUGCAUUUGAAACUGUUUCCCUUGAGUGUCGGAGAGGUAAGCGGAAUUCCUAGUGUAGCGGUGAAAUGCGUAGAUAUAAGGAAGAACACCAGUGGCGAAGGCGGAUUACUGGACGAUAACUGACGGUGAGGCGCGAAAGCGUGGGGAGCAAACAGGAUUAGAUACCCCAGUAGUC
rnacentral:rRNA from 1 species